rnacentral:rRNA from 1 species
UACGUAGGGAGCAAGCGUUAUCCGGAUUUAUUGGGUGUAAAGGGUGCGUAGGCGGUUUAUUAAGUCUAAGGUUUAAUCCCGGAGCUUAACUCCGGUUCGCCUUAGAAACUGAUUUACUUGAGUAUGGUAGAGGCAAGCGGAAUUUCUAGUGUAGCGGUAAAAUGCGUAGAUAUUAGAAGGAACACCAGUGGCGAAGGCGGCUUGCUGGGCCAUUACUGACGCUGAGGCACGAAAGCGUGGGGAGCAAAUA